AACGAACGCUGGCGGCAGGCUUAACACAUGCAAGUCGAACGGUUGUAGCAAUACAGCAGUGGCAGACGGGUGAGUAACACGUGGGAACCUUCCUAGGGGUACGGAACAACUCAGGGAAACUUGAGCUAAUACCGUAUACGCCCGUGAGGAGAAAGAUUUAUCGCCCUUAGACGGGCCCGCGUAGGAUUAGGUAGUUGGUGGGGUAAUGGCCUACCAAGCCUACGAUCCUUAGCUGAUCUGAGAGGAUGAUCAGCCACACUGGGACUGAGACACGGCCCAGACUCCUACGGGAGGCAGCAGUGGGGAAUCUUGGACAAUGGGCGCGAGCCUGAUCCAGCCAUGCCGCGUGAGUGAAGAAGGCC
rnacentral:rRNA from 1 species